rnacentral:rRNA from 1 species
GACAGAGGUGCCGAGCGUUAGGCGGAAUCACUGGGCUUAAAGCGUGUGUAGGUGGAUGCCUAAGUACCUUGUGAAAUCCCACGGCUUAACCGUGGAACUGCUUGGUAUACUGGAUGUCUUGAGCCAGCUAGGGGCUACCGGAACAAAUGGUGGAGCGGUGAAAUGCGUAGAUAUCAUUUGGAACGCCAAUGGUGAAAACAGGUAGCUGGGGCUGUGCUGACACUGAGACACGAAAGCCAGGGGAGCGAACGGG